UACGUAGGGGGCAAGCGUUGUCCGGAUUUAUUGGGCGUAAAGAGCGUGUAGGCGGCCAAGCAGGUCCGCUGUGAAAACUCGAGGCUCAACCUCGAGACGUCGGUGGAAACCGUUUGGCUAGAGUCCGGAAGAGGAGAGUGGAAUUCCUGGUGUAGCGGUGAAAUGCGCAGAUAUCAGGAAGAACACCCGUGGCGAAGGCGGCUCUCUGGUACGUGACUGACGCUGAGACGCGAAAGCGUGGGGAGCGAACAGG
rnacentral:rRNA from 1 species